AGACAUUAGAUAGCAGGGUCCAUUUGAACUACACAGCUGUCUACCUACAACAUACUUCCACUAAUGUCACAUUUGUCCAGGCAGCAGAACUCUUUUGAUUAGACUGUAUGUUAAAGGCAGACCUUUAUAAAUUCCCUUAUCUGCACUGGACCAGCCUAAGCUGACUGUGACUAGAAAAGGGAAUGUAUGCAGUCAGCACACAGAGACAGAAGGGGAGGGACAACUAUGCUUAGCAAUGACAAACCAUCUUCUGCCACAAUCACUAGCCAUAAGAGGUUGAAGUGUUUAUCACAACCACAGCUACAUUUUCCACUAUCCCAAAAUAAGAUUCUUUCAGAAUUCCUUAUAUGGGCUCAAGGAGACUCUAAAUACUCUGGUGUCUUGGAGAAUGCACAGGAAUAGCCCAGGAACUUUUUUGUUGCAUUUUUUAUUGAGUUUUGGUCAACAUAAAUACUCUGCUAUUUCUGUUAGUGGAGAUACAUUGUUUAUGUAAUCCAAUCCAGAGUAUUUACAACACUACAGAUGUACAGAUGAACAAGUGAUUUUAGAAUUUUAUGAUGAAUUCUUCAUUAUGCAGGUAUGACAAUUUUCUUGUUACUAUUUUCUAGCCAGUGACAUUUGCACCCAUGGUAUACCACAUAACAUAACAACAGUAAAGUCUGGCAUGUCUAUCACCAUCUCUCUCUCUCUCUCUCUCUCUCUCUCUCUGUCUCUCUCACACACACACACACACAAACUAAUUAAAC